rnacentral:rRNA from 1 species
ACUGUUAGGCUUGGGACCGGGAGAGGUGGGAGGUACUCCAGGGGUAGGGGUGAAAUCUCGUAAUCCUUGGGGGACCACCGAUGGCGAAGGCAUCCCACCAGAACGGGUCCGACGGUGAGGGACGAAAGCUGGGGGCACGAACCGGAUUAGAUACCCGGGUAGUCCCAGCUGUAAACGAUGCUCGCUAGGUGUCAGGUGCGGUGCGACCGCAUCUGGUGCCGCAGUGAAAACUUGAAGCGAGUCACCUGGGAAGUACGGUCGCAAGGCUGAAACUUAAAGGAAUUGGCGGGGGAGCACA